rnacentral:rRNA from 1 species
AUGGCGGGGGCGGCACCGCAAGCGCCACGAGCAUGGCGCGGCGAGGCCUGGCACAGGAAGGACUUGCGGGAGAUGAUGAGGAGCCGCGGCUUGCCGAGGCUGGCGGCCCCGUCGUGGAACGCCACCACGCGGUCCAGGCGGAAGGCGCGUUGGAGCAGGCGCUUGAAGUCGGCCACGGUCUUGCCGCCCGGGGAGUGCGUGCCGUCGAUGCCCAUGGGCCGGUGGAAGGUGGAGCCGAUGACGAUGCGCGAGAAGCAGUGCACCUCCUGGUCGUUGUCCACGUCGAUGACGUCGUAG